rnacentral:lncRNA from 1 species
GCUGCCUGGGUCGGCUGGGCCUGUGGGCCUGCGUCCGACAGCGCGCGGCCGUGCUUUCUAAGCGGGCUCGGCAGCACCAGACUUCACCGGCCCGGCGCGGGGCUCACAAGUGCUCGCACUCCCUGCGGCCGGCGCGCUGACCGGAGCCUCUGGGUCUCGCACGCAGCAGCUGCAGACGCUGCCCGGCGCGGUGGGGCUGUGAGCAAAACGGCCCGCCGGUGUGGUUGCCCAGACUGUGCUGGGCCCUCCUAGGUGGAUGGCCCUGCCCCAGCCUAACUUCUGUACCCCAGCAUAACCUCCAAAGUAACAGCCGUGCCCUGGGAGCCUGUUCAACACUGAACAUAUCCCACAAUAACACUGUUCCAGCGUCGCUGGUAAAAAGCAGAAAUGGCUUCGCUGGAGGCAUCGACAAAUCUAAUGCAGUAACCUCAUUUUACAGAAGAGAACUCUAAGAGGAUAACUAACUUGGCCAAGAUCACAUGAUGUUUCUGGAUGAGAUUAGCAUUCAAAUUCGUGGACUCAUUAAAGUAGAUGGCUCUCUCCAAUAUGGGUGGGCAUCAUCCAAUCUGUUGAAGGCGUGAAGAGAACAAGAGAAGGAGGAAGGAAGAAUUCACCUUUUUUCUUGCUGCCCACCUGCUUGGGCUGGGACAUUGCAUCUCACCUUCUCCAGCCUUUGGAUGAGGAUUUACACCCUGGUUCUCAGGCCUUCAGGCUCUAACUGGAGCUACACUAUCAACUUUCCUGGGCCUCCAGAUUGCAGAUGGUGGAUCACGGUACUUUUUAGCCUCCAUCAUAAUAUGAGAAAAAAGAGGCACAGUGAAGCUAAAUAUAUUGGCUAAAGAUCACAAAGCUAAGUUGAAAUUUUUCAAGAUGAAAAGUUGCUAAAGAAAGAGAAAGGGAAGCGGUUUGCUCCAGUAUUCCUCUUUCCACCUUCCCACUGACUGGGAAGCGGCGGUUAGCAGAGCCACAGUCUUGGAUUAGAGAUAAGAGGGACAUGUUGAGGAAGGUGGAGUCUCCCCCACAGCCCUGGACCAGAAAUUAGUUGAUAACGUCUUCCAGGAGACCUACGGCCAUCCUACUGAUAUGAACCAGAUCAUACCUGCCCUGAUGGGAUGCCAGAGAAAGACUGCUGCAAGGGAUCCUCUGGAAACAGAACAGAGGGAAGAAGAUACCUUCCCUGAAGCCCAGAUGUUCCAGAAGCCUGCGCCUCAUUCACAAAGUCACCCCAAAAAUGCCCUAGAGUUUGGAGUUUUGAAGAAGCGGGAAGAAGGCCUGAGUAAGGGCCUGGGAACCAAGUUAGAUCCUACUUCAGCAUCAGCACAUGCCAGCGAUGGUGCACACAGGUGGAGAGCGGCCUGCCCGUCUUUUCCAUGGUGCCCACAGACCCAUUUAGGAUGAAAGAUCAGAAAAUUCUCUCCAUGUCACCGCUUCUGAAACAUGUGAAUAUUAAUAUUUGGUGCCUAAAAGGCCAUGGCAAAUUUUCAUUGGUUUUAUCUUAUUCAUGAUUAUAGAGUUGAAAGAAUACAUAUUCCCAUGGGGAUCAAUGAAGACAUUCUCAUUUUGAAUGAAGUAGAAUAUAAGUUGUAAAGAUAUAGAAUUUUCCUGAACUGAACCUUGAACCAAAAAUCCCCUCAAUUAACCUGGAACUAAACACAGUCCCUGAAGAUAACAAGGAGUUUCAGGAUGCCACAGGGCUGUCUGUGCAGUAUGGGGCUUCUUGCUCUAUCUCUGGUAUCUGAGGCAGAUAGGCUACUCAGGCCCCUCUCUGGUCUCAAGGUGGGCUGGCUGAGAUGUCAGUUUCUUCCUCAGUGACAGCUUGGGUACAGUAUGUGUAAACUGAUUGUCAGCUGAGCUGAAGGGACUCUGCCCAUAUUGGAGUGUUCUACAAGAAGAGGUGUCAAACCUAAAGGUCUAAAAUUACUAUGAAAGGAGUAUUGGAAACCACUGGGACAAUUGUGAUCACAACUGGUGGUAGCCUUCUCGUUUGGGUGAGAAAGACAGAAAGGAGGAAGAUGUGUUAGUCAAGGUUCUCUAGAGGGACAAAACUAAUAGGAUAUAUGUAUAUAUGAGAGGGAGUUUAUUAAGGAGAAUUGACUCACUUGAUCACAAGGUAAAGUCCCAAGAUAGGCUGUCUGCAAGUUGAGGAGCAAGGAAGUCAUUGGUGGAUUGUUCUGGGUACCAAAACCUCAAAAGUAGGGAAAUCGACAGUGCAGCCUUCAGUCUGUGGUCAAAGGCUCGAGGGGCCCUGGCAGACCACUGGUGUAAGUCCAAGAGUCCCAGAAGCUGAAGAACUUGGAGUCUGAUGUUUGAGGGCAGGAAGCAUCCAGCACAGGAGAAAGACGGAUGCUGGAAGACUUAGCAAGUCUGUUCUUUCCAAUUUCUUCUGCCUGCUUUUAUUCUAGCCAUGCUGGCAGCUGAUUAGAUGGUGCCCUCCCAAAUUGAGGGUGGCUGUGCCUCUCCCAGUCCACUGACUCAAAUGUUAAUCUCCUUUGGCAACACCCUCACAGACACACCCAGGAACAAUACUUUGCAUCCUUCAUUCCAAUCAAGUUGACACUCAAUAUUAACCAUCACAGAAGGAGAAUUUCAGGCUGAGUCCAAACACUAUGGCCCCAGCCCCAGCUUCCCCUUUCUGGGUUGAAUAACCAGACUGAGCCUAAGAAAAGGAAAAGAGUUGACUUUCUCCCAAAAGGCCUGCAGCGGGUUAGAAAGCAAUGGUUUGGGGACCAUACUGAGUGCCUAGGAUGCUCUGGACCACAAAGCUUGAAGUCAAAUUGUUCAUGCACUUGUUUCAUGAUAGGAAGAGAGAGAGAGAGAGAGAGAGAGAGAGAGAAAUUUCCUUUCCUUGAAGAAUGGCAAAACACGUCUCUUGUUCUGGGGGCUAUAUCUUGAAGGGUAUCUGAUCUCCCCCUCAUGGGAGGAACUAGAAUGCCCUAAGGCAGCCGUGGCUCCUGGAGCUGAGAGAUCUUUCUGACACUUUGUGAGAGCUGCAAGGCUAAGUCUGGAGCCAGAAAAGUCCAUGUGGACAAGUGCAGAGCAAGCAGAUCUGAGACACAUGUGGGAGCAAGCUGGACAUGUCCAAAAGUCAGAGGAAGCAAGAGCAGACAUGCAUGAGCAGGCAGAUGAGGCUGGUGCCCAGGCAGCAGGCUGAGGCUCUGGCUGGGCUUUGGAUGCUCCUGAGAGUCCAGUUAGAGACCAGUGAGCAAACCCACAGUGAACUCUUAUUCCUCACGCAGCAGGACGAGGGAUUAAGCACAAAGCCUUAAAGGUCUGAGUGUCUCUUUAUCCUGACCUCAGGAAAGAGAGGCAAGUAUCAUGUUUCUAAAAGUCUGAGAAGUCUUCACAUGACAGCCUACACCAAAAGAACUCAAAUGCACAUCCACUGCAUACACGCAUGUGUGCACACAUAUACAUGUGUACACAUGCAUGCCCACACACAACCCUCUGGAAGAGGAAGUAAAGAGACUUUAUGUUUUCAGCCCCUCUUGAGGAAACUUAAACUAAGUCUUUCUGUGGGGUUAGUGGUGGAGACAGAGAGGGUCUGGGGUCACCGAGGCCGAGGUGGCUGGACCCAGAGGGUAGAGCUGAGGGGAUCCCCUGAGACUGGGAAGAUGGAGCAGAAGCAGAUGGCAGAUGGCAGCAGGUGAGAGCAGACUGGAUUUCUCCUAAAUCACCAGAUCCAGCCAACCUUUCUUUCCUUAGGGACACCUCUAGAUCCCAUUCCAAAUGAACUCUUUCUCUGACCUUUCACCUCAAUUCAGAAUUUGGGAAAUUUAGCCAUGAUCUUAGGAACACAGAGGCUUGAAACAAUCUUUUCUAACCACCCGUUUGUUCAGACUGUGUAAGUUCUGCUUCUGCAUCCAGUGUCAACACCCAAGAACCAUUUUAAAGGGGAGCCAUCCUUUGAAAUUAAACUUCUUUUAAUAAUAAAGACAGAUUUCAGGGUUGACAUAAAAGAUAGCCACAGUAAAGCCAAUCCUCCAGUGUAUAACAUUUUUCAAAGUUUCCUUCCUCUUCAUUGCUGGUGUUCAUGUACAGUCCAGAGUUAGUCUACAUUAAAUUAUAGAUUGUUUUCAGCAAUAAUGCAAACAUUUGGAAGCCUUCAAACUCUCUGAUAACUAACUUCUACAUUCUCUCUGCUAUUAUUAUAUAGAAAGGGAAAUUUUACCUGAUGCUGUUAAAGUCCUCACGAACAUAGUGAUCCGAAUUGGCUGAAGUGGAAAACUAAAUGUUAGCUGAUUUUCAAAACAAGAUUUCCACUCUGAAUUCCCAUUUUUCACAUGUGAUCAUAUGCCUUGUUGUGAAGUUGAACUAAAAAGAAACUCCAUGCCCACUGGCUUAAUGCUAGAAGAUAAUCUACAGCAUAGUAAUUUCUUAGACUUCACUUUAUUAGCCACUAAACUUGGAAUGAUUAUUUCUAUGUUCAAUUAUUAAGUCUAUAUCUCCAUUUCUUAAAAAGGUCUGAGGCAGCCCCUUUGAAUAUUAAUACGCAUUUAUUUUCACCUCUCAAAUAAAAAAAUAGUUCACAGUG